rnacentral:rRNA from 1 species
UACGGGGGGAGCAAGCGUUGUUCGGAUUUACUGGGCGUAAAGGGCGCGUAGGCGGCCAACUAAGUCAGACGUGAAAUCCCUCAGCUUAACUGGGGAACUGCGUCUGAUACUGGAUGGCUUGGAUUUGGGAGAGGAAUGCGGAAUUCCAGGUGUAGCGGUGAAAUGCGUAGAUAUCUGGAGGAACACCGGUGGCGAAGGCGGCAUCCUGGACCGACACUGACGCUGAGGAGCGAAAGCCAGGGGAGCAAACGGG